rnacentral:tRNA from 1 species
GCGGGAAUAGCUCAGUUGAUAGAGCAUCAGCCUUCCAAGCUGAGGGUCGCGGGUUUGAGUCCCGUUUCCCGCUCCA